AAAGACCGGCUCAGCCGGGACCUCGGGUCUCCAGUGCCCCCCGCCAGGCUCCUAAUCCAGCGCGGGGGGCUGGGACGGCGAGGGGAGCCUGCAAACACCUGGAGAGGGCCAGGACCCUACCGCACCCCACUACUGCCCUUGUUCUGGGCCGGGGGCAGCACGCAGCACUGAGCCGCGGCGGGACCGACGGCCACCCGCAGACGGACGGAGCCGCAGCAGGAGGCAGAAGCUGGGGCCUGGCAAAGGCAGCUUGCCCAGGACACACAGAUCAACUCACUCGAAGAACUGGGGCAGGGCAAGGCGGCAGCCGUGUGCCACGGUUGCCCUGGUGGUCAGGACAGCCUGUGACUCAGCACCCACGGGGCUCUCUCAGAGGCGCUCCAGGGCCACCUUUGCCCACUCAUCACUACUGGGACUACAGUGUGGACCUGCCUGGAUCCCAAGCUUCACCAGACGCACAGCCGACAGGACCACCAGGCCUGGACCUGAACCUCCAGCACCAAGAGCCGCAACGUGACCGACACCUACGUGGGAGCAGCACCAGGGCACCAGGUCUUGAGAAAAGAAAGACUUUGUUGCAAGGUCAGCCAGCAAGGAGAUAGGAGGCCAGGUGCCAAUCCGCUUCUCUGCUCUGGGGUCAGGAGUGAAUCUUUAAAAAAAGCUGCUCAGAAGUCCUGGCAGAAGAGGCACCUCCCGAGAGAGACAGGACAAGAAAACACAGGUGUGAGAGUAGAACUUAGUGCCCCACGCAGCCCCUCAUCCUUCCUGGGGACUUUCUCCCUGUCUUAAGCUCACCAAGGGAGCACAGAGGGUGACGGGCGCCACUCUGGCGUGCACUGCUCUGCACACCGCCCGGCGUGCUGCUCCCCAGCUCUGCCACGUGGACACCCUGUCAUUCCGUUUGGCCGGAGCCUUGUCACCUCUAUCUUUAGGGAAGCCCACUCCCACCGGCCCCUGCAGUGGUUCCUGGGUUUCUCUCCUUCUACAAGGCCUGCUGGGCAUGUUCAGAUUCAUGCUGUUUCCUAGCAACAGUUUGUGACAGCCUUGGAUCAGCUACUCCAAUGAGAGGCUGAGGCAGCAUGCGGAGGCUCAUGGCUGAGGGCCGGCAGGUGCAGGAGGUAGCCAAAUCCCAAUGACACCUGCACUUUCCUUUCCCAGGGCAUGCCCAGCAGCCUGCUUCCAUCCCUGAACGCUGUUCAUGCCCUCACCAGCCACAGGGUCACACGGUGGUUGUCGGGUCAUGGGAGUCCCCUCCCAUCCCUCCAGAAGGAGCACGUUGCUAAGAGCCUGCAAUGGCUGCUUGUGACUCCCAUGGCAGCCAUAGCGGAUUGCAUCUGUCCUAGGGGUGGAGUCUGUACCUGUGUGGAAGGGGUGGUGGGCAGGGACAGGAGGAGGACGUUGCAGGGUACUGAGCACCUGGAGUUGGUCACUGGCCUUUCUCAUGGGCUUUGUUGACUGUGCCAUGCCCACUCUGCCCAUCUUCCCUUGAGGAAGGCUGACAUUGGCUUUGUCUGUCUCUCAGGGUGACUAUGAUGCUACAGGUGAGACUUUUUAUUAAUCCAUGGCCAUGGGGCCCACAGUGUGGGGUCCUUAGAAGGGUUUAGCCCUUCCUACCCCACAGCUGACUGUCUGCUCCUGUUCCACACGUGGGCCGAGCAGUCACCUGUCUGAGACAUGCAUCCGUGGAGCACAGCAGGCACCCUGGAUAAAGCAUCAAGCACAC